rnacentral:rRNA from 1 species
UACGUAGGCAGCGAGCGUUGUUCGGAGUUACUGGGCGUAAAGCGUGCGUAGGCGGUGUCUUAAGUUUGUUGUGAAAUCUCCCGGCUUAACCGGGAGGGUGCGGCGAAUACUGAGAUGCUGGAGUACGGGAGAGGUAAGCGGAAUUCCUGGUGUAGCGGUGAAAUGCGUAGAUAUCAGGAAGAACAUCGGUGGCGAAGGCGCUCUGCUGGACCAUAACUGACACUCAGGGACGAAAGCUAGGGGAGCGAAUGGG